rnacentral:rRNA from 1 species
AUUGAACGCUGGCGGCAGGCCUAACACAUGCAAGUCGAACGAGUGGCGGACGGGUGAGUAAUGUCUGGGAAACUGCCUGCUGGAGGGGGAUAACUACUGGAAACGGUAGCUAAUACCGCAUACCAUCGGAGGUGCCCAGAUGGGAUUAGCUAGUAGGUGGGGUAAAGGCUCACCUAGGCGACGACCCUUAGCUGGUCGGCGAGGAUGACCAGCGCCACUGGAACUGAGACACGGUCCAGACUCCGACGGGAGGCAUCAGUGGGGAAUAUUGCACAAUGGGCGCAAACCUGAAGCAGCCAUGCCUCGUGUAUGAAGAAGGCCUUCGGGUUGUAAAGUACUUUAAGCGGGGAGGCGUUACCCGCAGAAGAAGCACCGGCUAACUCCGUGCCAGCCGCCGCGGUAAUUC